UUUUAGCCCUGAUGGAAGCGGAAAUCCUUUUUUUUGUGCGUAUGAGUGCCUCGUGUUUUUACGGGGCACUCAUACGCACAAAAAAAAGAUUGUAGCAACAGCAGGAAUAUGG
rnacentral:sRNA from 26 species